GGAUACUCGAACAUGUAGGUCAUGCUGCACCGGUUCUCCUCGAAGCCGAACAGCAGCUCGCGCAGCCCCGUCAGCAGCAGCGCGAGAGCCGCCGCAUAAAACCCGUAAAUAAGCGCUUUCUCCAUCUCUCCAGUAGCUCACAGAGAAACGGUCUACGGAAAUGACUUCAGUGAAGCAGCAGCGCUUCCAGCCAACCGAGUGAAGGCUAACUGCUUGUGCUCGACCAAUCAAAACUGACAAUGCUCGGACUUCAACACAGAGCGCAAAACAUUACCUGUUGAUGUUUAUUUCUUAGCUUAUUUUUAUUUGUUUGUUUGUAAUCUGUGUACUUGUUUUAAACGGUAUUACAAGCCAACAUUAAACAAUCAUUAAAAACGA